rnacentral:lncRNA from 1 species
AGAUACAUAAGUUUUAUUAUAAAAUAUGUGUGUGUACAGUAAUACAAAGGAAAUAAACAUUUAAAACAUACAAAACGUGAUAAUAACAUUACAAACGAACAAAAAAUUUAUAAAAAUGGAGAAACAAUGAUCAAAGUGAUUGAAUAUGCAAAAAUAAUUGAUUAAGAAUAAAAAAAAGGAUAAAACAAAGAAAAACUUAAUUAAAAUUAAACUAAAACAGCAGGGACAAUUUGAAAAUAAAACAAUAGCAAUAAAAGGACCAAUAAUUAACGCGCGAAAAUAGCUAGGGACUAAAACUGGUAAUAUACCAGAUCCCAAAAUGCUGCGUUUAGACGCGGGUCCAUUUGCAAACGGGUGUAAAUCAUAGGGGUAAAUUAAUAAAAAACGAAACAAGAAUACGGGCUGAUUUGAAUAUGGCGCGAAAGGGAGGGACUGAUAUGGCAAAUAACCCCUCACCACGAAAAUGCGCGGGUCCUGGGGGUUAGGAGUCGGAUCGGGUCGAGUGUACCAAUAUGACGCCGUUUGGGAGGUCAUUGGGCAAAACCUAAAAUGGUGCCGUUUGAGGUCCUAUAAAAAUGCUAAAUCAGUAGAUUAAGCCGAACCCUAACCCUAGCCUCACUCCUUUCUCUCCAGCAGCCCCCAGAUCCCUCUCCUCAAAUGCCAAGCCGCCGUCAUGUGGAUGACCAACAUCCUCAGGCUGUGCGCGACUGUUUUUAUAGCCUUGUAGUUCCCCUUAAGUCUCUGAUUUUGGCGAAGAAAAGGAGAACCGAUGGCCUAAUUUCAAGGUAAGGUUUCAUUUUUUUUUGCACACUCAAAUUGCGAAGGAACAAAUGAAAAUAAAAAUAACAAGAACAAACUGAACAAAGAAGAAAAGAAGAGUCUCAGAGAUUUGAAUCGAAAUCACAUUCGAAUACUCAUUGCUUUUUUUGGUAUAUUCCUCUGUUUUUCGUUUUCUAUUGUUUUUGUAUGCGUAAAUGUGCGUAACAAAAAAAAAUAGACAAGGACUCUAGCUUUAUAGCAGAAACAAAAUCAGAAAGAUAUAAAAUACCAAUACAAAAUUCUUCUUUCCUAUUUGCUGUUGUGGUUUUGUAUUCUUUUGCAGGUACGGGUGCAAGGCGCGUGUACGGGUGUUGUGCUGGCACUUGGCGUGGGCGUACGAGGGCUGGGGCUGCUAUCUAGUUGCUGUUGUGGCGCAGGAGAAAAGGGGUGACCUAGGGUUUGCCGAAAUUGGUUUGGUAUUUGGGCCGUUUGGGCCCGUUUAUGUUAGGGAUAGAUAUUUUUGGGCCAAUAAACUGUUAAUAUUGGUUGUAAUAUUUUGACUUUUAUGAUAGACUAUUAGUUUGGUAUUAUUCUUUGGACUUUUGGUUUAAUAACUGGGUAUUUAUUUUGGGUUUUGGUUCUAACGUGGGCCCAGGCAAAUUGGCCCAUUUACACCCAUGACCCAAAAACUCCCUGGGCUGCUGUGCUUGUUUCGAAAUGUCUAUGUAAUGAUACCAGUCGUUCCCAGUGCUCUCCCACUUGGAAUGGCCUUAAUAUCACACAACACCUUCUGUCUAAGGGCAUUAGAUGGUUUGUUAGCAAUGGUUCCAACAUGAAUAUUUGGUCUGAAAGUUGGUCAGGGCUUGGCCUCAUUAGAAAUCUCAUUAAAGGUCCUUUAAAUCGAAAUAAGGAAUUCUUGACAGAAACUUUCUUCUCUAUUUUAUCCUUUGAGUUGCCCUCCCAUACUGGAAGCAUUCUUUUGGCUACUCCAGUUUCUCUUUCCAUUGAAUCAAAAAAUUGUUAUCGGAUGGAAUGGUUCUUCUUCGGGAAUCUUCACUCUUAAAUCUGCUUGCCUUAUCGCUAGAAAUCUGAGUUUAAAUCCUUCAAAUGAUUGGAAGUGGAUUUGGAAACUGAAUCUUAUUCUGAAAUUAUUUUCUUCUUCUUUUUUUUUCCUUUGGGAGCUUAUGAGAUCCAUCCUUCUGACCAUACCCUUCCUUAAUAAAAGAGGAAUGAAUCUCCUUCAUCAUUGCCCUUUCUGCUCUUCCAGCUGGGAUGCUUUUGAGCAUUUACUUAAAGAAUGUGAUUUGAUUAAGGGACUUUGGUUCAGUUUAGGGGUUCCAUCACAGUUGCUCUACACUUUUAACUCUCUUUUUCAUGACUUUGGUCCCAGCCCACCUAAAAUGUAAAAUUAUUAUUUUGACCCUUAAUUUUUUUAAAAAUUUUAAAUUAGUAAAAGUAAAAUUACACUUUAACCUCUCUAAAAUUAUAAAAAUUCAAUUUAAUCCUUUACAAAUUAUAAAGAUAUAAACUAUAAAAAAAUUAAAAUUUCAUCCGCCCUAAAAAAACUUUCUGGCUUCGCCCCUGGUUCUUCUAUUCGGAUGGGAAUUGGGUUGCUGGUUGCCAUAGGUUUAUCGGCUUUUCUACAAAUUCCGUUGCUGAAAUAUGGGCUUUAUGAGAUGGACUUCAACUUGCACAAAAUUUAAACGUUGAAAAUCUGAUUGUUGAAGUUGACAUUUCUUAUGCUAUCAGCUUAGUUAAGAAUUCAAAUGAUUUGAAUCUUCCUUUGGUGGCUGAUUGUAAGAUUUUAUUCCCCGUCAUUUGGUUCAUACUUUUUGUCAAGGAAACUGUUGUUAUAACGCCCCAAAAUUUUAAUUUUUGAUUUCAUAUAUGUGUGACACAUAAGUGUGUAUCUGCUUCAGUGGUUAACUAUUUUGGGUGUGUGUGAGAAGUCCCAAAUUUAAACUUUACUUGGGCAAAUUUUGGUAUUUUUAUAAAUAAAACCUUAACCUUGUGCAAAGGGCUUAAGUUUAAUUGUUAGGAAAUUUAUAUUAGAAUCGGCCUAGUAGUCUGGUGGUUAAGUGGAGUGUUGCAGUGUUAAAGGUCCUGUGUUUAAUUCUCUGUGAUGGCAUGGAGACAGUAUUUUUGCUCCAAUUUCGGCUAGAGUUGUGUUAAGGCAAAAUUCUAAGUAGUUGUGUUUUAGCGGGUUAAGAGGGAGUGAUUUUAGGAGAUAAUUGGGGAGAGUUUAUCAGAAAAUAAUCUGAUUAUCUUUUUGUUGCAAAAAAAUAAUAAUAAUUGAGUUUCAGUUUUCUCUCCAAUUCCUCAGAUUUUUCCUGACGUUUUCUUCUUCUUCAUUUUUUUCUCUCUUCUGCCGAUUCUCUCUCCCUAAUUGCUGGUGAAAUUUCGAUUAUUUUUUUCCCUUCCGUUUCUUUCUUUUUUUCCAAUUGAUUUGGUUGUUCAUCUUUGGUUGCGCGUGUUCGGUAAGUAACAGUUUUGUCUAUUGUUAAUUAUUCUUGGUUAAUCUCUAAAAGGGGGAUUCCUUUUUGGUUUUUAGGAGUUAAUCAAGGGGUUGGUGGUUUUGAAUCGACGCUGUGAUUGUGCGAAGUCAUGGUUGCUCAAGCGAGGUAAGGGUUUUGUUAGGUUUUUAGUCAAGUUCCUUCCAAAAUUGGCUGAUUAAAAAUGAAUUAAGCGAUUAAUCUGGAGAUAUGUUGGUCAAUUUUUAGGUUCUGGAGGCUUAAGAGUGCUUACGCAUCAGAAACAAUACCAGGUGUGUACCCCAAACGCAGAAAAUGAGAUUCGGUGAAAAGUCAAAAUUGCUUGCUAUCGAGAAAUAAGAGAAAUAUGAAAAAAUGAUGCGAAAAAAAAUGUAGAGAAAGGAAAUAAGAGUGUUAUACACUUGGUCAACAUUUUGCUCUAAAAUAGUAUUGAUAGCAGCAGUAAUCUAACUUUGAAAAAUCAUCAAAAAUAGUGAAAAUUGAGUUAGAGGUUGAAUAAAAUAUGAACUUAAAUUUUAUUGAGUCUAGUUUUUCAUGGAAGAAACAAUGUAUGCAAUGAAAUUGUAAAUUAUGAGAUAUAAUAAAUUUUGUGAGACAAGGUCAGAAUGAUUUCGAGUUCCCUUAUUCUGAAUUUGGAAAAUCAUCAAAAAUUGUAAAAAAAAUAAUUAGGGGCUUAAGAUCCUUAAUGAGUCUAUUUUCAAGAGAAACAAAUGGAAACAUCAUCCAAAUUUCGUUCUAAGAGAUAAACAAUUUUUAAUAAGUAAAAGUUGAAGCUGUCAAACAGUAGAAUAGGGAUAAAUUUGAAGAUUUUACUAUACUUAUAUGAUAAACUAUAAAUUCUGAAAAUUUUAUGGUAGAAAGGUAUUUGAGUCUAGUUUCAAAAAUAUUAAGCGAAUCUUAAUUUGGAAUUCUAUAGCACAAGAUAUAAAUAAUUUAGCGACAAUGACAUAAGUAGACAGCUUUGAAUGAACAUAUAAGUAAAUAGUGAAAACAUAUAUGAAUAUUUAGCUAGCAUGGGUUACAUUAAAAAUGGAUUACACGGCCAAGGUCAAUUUGGACCGAGUGGGCCACACGGGUGUGUCGGCCCACAUGGGCAGAUCACAUGAACGUGUGAGCCCAUUUUUACCGAAAUGUUUCUAAGGUUGCACGGGUCGCCCAAGUCGACUGUGAACCUACUGUAAGGUCGGUAAGCGCUACUUAGACCCUUAAAUGUGUAAAAUUGACUGAAUGAUAUUGGUACUGAGCAUGUUAAUAUCUGAAUUGAAUAUAUGUAUUGAAAUUGCAUAAUAGCAUAUCAUCAAUUGUAUGUUACAUUGCAUUGGGUUAGGGGUUGUUAUUCGAAGGAAGUGUACUGAAAGACUUUAAGCCUAAUUUACUGGCAACUCAGCUGCAAACUACUGUUUUGUGCCGCAUUCGGUACUACUUGGAGUGUAAGGAUGGGUGGGUUGAUUAUAUCCCCACAUGGAGUAUAGGGUUGAACGGAGAUGGUGUGUAGAGGUUGGUUGGGUAGGAUUUUGCUACUGCAUAACUGUUACUGCUACUGAUACUGUGAUGGGCUAAGGGCCUACUGCAUUUUUGACACUGUACUGAGAUGGGCUAAGGCUCAAACUGUCACUGAUACUAAAAAAGGCUUAGGCCCAAGACUAUUCAACUGUGCAUUAUGAAUAUUGAUUGUUUGUUUGUUUUUGUGAGAUUACACAUUGAGUUUACAUAAACUCACCCUUUUUGUUUAAUGUGCACAGGUAAUCCCCAGACUUAGACGGAUUAGUGUGACGGAGGACUCAGCGGUCACCACAGUAAUUUUU